CGGUUAAAAAGCUCGUAGUUGGAUUUCUUCCAGGGGCAGUCGGUCCACACUACGUGUGCGUAUCUAAUUUGACUUUGGAAUCCUCUUGGGGAACAUCUCUGCGCUUAACUGCGUGGAAUGGUAUUCAAGACUUUUACUUUGAGGAAAUUAGAGUGUUCACGGCAGGCAAUCGCCCUGAAUACAUUAGCAUGGAAUAAUAAUAUAGGAUUUCGGUUCUAUUUUGUUGGUUUCUAGAGCUGAGAUAAUGAUUAAUAGGGACACUUGGGGGCAUUCGUAUUAUCACGUCAGAGGUGGAAUUCUUGGAUUGUGUUACGACGAACUACUGCGAAAGCAUUUGCCAAGGAUGUUUUCAUUGAUCAAGAACGAAAGUAAGGGGAUCGAAGACGCUUAGAUACCGUCGUAGUCUUUACCAUAAACUAUGCCAACUAGGGAUUGGAGGGCGUUCUUCAUUCGACUCCUUCAGCACCUUAUGAGAAAUCAAAGUUUUUGGGUUCCGGGGGGAGUAUGGUCGCAAAGCUGGAACUUAAAGGAAUUGACGGAAGGGCACCACCAGGAGUGGAACCUGCGGCUUAAUUUGACUCAACACGGGAAAACUCACCA
rnacentral:rRNA from 1 species